rnacentral:rRNA from 1 species
AGCAACCUGCCUUUCAGAGGGGGAUAACAUUUGGAAACAGAUGCUAAUACCGCAUAAGAUUACAGUACCGCAUGAUACAGUGAUCAAAGGAGCAAUCCGCUGAAAGAUGGGCUCGCGUCCGAUUAGAUAGUUGGUGAGGUAACGGCUCACCAAGUCGACGACCGGUAGCCGGACUGAGAGGUUGAACGGCCACAUUGGGACUGAGACACGGCCCAG